rnacentral:tRNA from 9 species
CGCGGGAUGGAGCAGUCUGGUAGCUCGUUGGGCUCAUAACCCAAAGGUCGUAGGUUCAAAUCCUGCUCCCGCAA